AUUGAACGCUGGCGGCAGGCUUAACACAUGCAAGUCGAACGAGUGGCGGACGGGUGAGUAAUGAUUGGGAAUCUAGCUUAUGGAGGGGGAUAACUACGGGAAACUGUAGCUAAUACCGCGUACCAUAGGAUGAGCCCACGUGGGAUUAGGUAGUUGGUGGGGUAAAGGCUAACCAAGCAGACGAUCUCUAGCUGGUCUGAGAGGAUGACCCGCCACACUGGGACGUAGACACGGCCCAGACUCCUACGGGAGGCAGCAGUGGGGAAUAGUGCGCAAUGGGGGCAACCUGACGCAGCCAUGCCGCGUGAAUGAAGAAGGCCUUCGGGUUGUAAAGUUCUUUCGGUAGGGAGGCGUUAACUACAGAAGAAGCACCGGCUAACUCCGUGCCAGCAGCCGCGGUAAUUC
rnacentral:rRNA from 1 species